rnacentral:rRNA from 2 species
AUGUUGGGUUAAGUCCCGCAACGAGCGCAACCCCUGUCCUAUGUUGCCAGCGAGUAAUGUCGGGGACUCAUAGGAGACUGCCGGUGACAAAUCGGAGGAAGGUGGGGAUGAUGUCAAGUCAUCAUGCCCCUUAUGCCUAGGGCUACACACGUGCUACAUUGGCCGGUACAAAGGGCUGCAAACCCGUGAGGGGGAGCGAAUCCCAAAAAGCCGGUCCCGGUUCGGAUUGGAGGCUGAAACUCGCCUCCAUGAAGGCGGAGUUGCUAGUAAUCGCGGAUCAGCAAUGCCGCGGUGAAUACGUUCCCGGGCCUUGUACACACCGCCCGUCAAGUCACGAAAGUCGGUAACACCCGAAGCCGGUGGCCCAACCCUUGUGGGGGGAGCCGUCGAAGGUGGGACUGGCGAUUGGGACUAAGUCGUAACAAGGUAA